rnacentral:rRNA from 1 species
UACAGAGGUCUCAAGCGUUGUUCGGAUUCAUUGGGCGUAAAGGGUGCGUAGGCGGCGCGGUAAGUCGGGUGUGAAAUCUUGGAGCUUAACUCCGAAACUGCAUUCGAUACUGCCGUGCUUGAGGACUGGAGAGGAGACUGGAAUUUACGGUGUAGCGGUGAAAUGCGUAGAUAUCAGGAGGAACACCGGUGGUGUAAACGGCUUUCUGGACCAUAAACUGACGCUGAGGCACGAAAGCGUGGGUAGCAAACAGG